AGUGAGUGGCGAACGGGUGAGUAACACGUGAGUAACCUGCCCUCUUCUUUGGAUAACGCCCGGAAACGGGUGCUAAUACUGGAUAUUCACUGAUCUUCGCAUGGGGGUUGGUGGAAAGGUUUUUUCUGGUGGGGGAUGGGCUCGCGGCCUAUCAGCUUGUUGGUGGGGUGAUGGCCUACCAAGGCUUUGACGGGUAGCCGGCCUGAGAGGGUGACCGGUCACAUUGGGACUGAGAUACGGCCCAG
rnacentral:rRNA from 1 species